GAAAUGAUCUUUCGUUCAUUUGCUUACUCCCUCGGCCCCGCAAAUCAAAGCCAACUUUGUUCAGAAGCUGGUCGCGUUAGCGGCAUAAAUGGGAACCCUACAUCAAAAUGGCACUUGAAACGUUGCCUGGUCCCAGCGUAUAAAUUACGCCGCGUAAUGAGCACAUGUCUGCAAACGCGAAAACAAGCGUGACGAGAAAGAGAGAGAAGUAACAGCGGGGUCGACAUUUUCAUAUGUGGCAGGAUAAAUAAAUAAGGGUGGCUAACACCCUGCGGUUAGCAGUUCCAACGCUAUUUUUUUUCUCCACGCGACCGUUUGAUGUGGACGCCCGGGGUGAAACCUUGUUUGGACAACUAAAGGAUGGAGCUGCCAGACUUCGAACCGCGCCAGAGACACACAGACCACCACCGGACAUAACAUGACAAGACAUUCUAGAACUGCUCCACGUCACGCCUCCCGCCAACAAGGAUAGGAUACUCAAAACGUCUUCUCUUCUUCAUGCCGGGAAAGAGAAGAGAGGAGGAUCAUGUCUCUACUAGGUUGCUGCCUCAGAACGCGCACAACACGUUUCCUUGUGAUUUCAUUAGCUGUUCAAAAACUUAAACAUGCUAUGUCUCAUGUCACACUUGUUUAUGUGAUAUGACGCAUAUAGUUUGUUUGAUUUGAUAAAGACGUGUUUAUGACAAACUACUUCAAAAAAUAAGAACAAGACUCAGAGAAUGUUGUUGUUUUCGAAUGCAAGAACAGAACACAAGUAUUCUAUGGUGC